GAAAGAGAUUGAGAGAGAGAGAGAGAAGGGCUUGAAAAAAAUUCCUACUUGUUACGCACUAAGUGUUUCUGUCUCCCCAGAAUUCAUGUGUUGAAGGCCUAAAUCCCAGUGUAGCUGAGUUUGGAGAUGGAACCUUUAAGGAAGCAAUCAAGGUGAAAUGAGGUCUUAAGGCUAUGGCCCAAAUCUGAUACGAUGGGUAUCCUUAUAAGGAGAGAGGCCAGAAAACUCGUUCUCUCUUUCUCUACAUGCACAUGCACUCAGGGAAAUCCAUGGGAAGACACAGCCAGAAGGCAGCAGUCUACAAGCCAGGAGGAGAGCCCUUACCACACAAUAACUCACCUCUCAACUUGUCAAGUCUCUGAUGUGAGAUCCAGUAUUAAACAAAGAGUCACACCGAAAGGCUUACACAGUAGAAGAGUUUAAAGUAAGGCCCUCUUUCCUUCAUCAGUCCAUCCUAUGAAUCCCAUAAUGACAGCACAUGGGGAAAUAUGAGAGUGAGAAAUAAACAUUAUUCAUAAUAGCCAAGUUAUGGAAAGAGCCAAGUCCAGUGACAGACGAAUGGAUAAAGAAAAUGUGGCAUAUACAUACAAAUGAAAUAUUAUUCAGCCUUGAAAAAGAAGAAAAUCCUGCCAUAUGCAACUGCUUGGAUGACUCUGGAAAUAAGCCUGUCACAGAAGAGUAUGUGCUGCAUGAUUUCACUUAUAUAAGGAUCAAGAGUUGUCAAGAAAAUAAGGACUUGCAGCUAUCUAUAUUUUUCAAUACAAAAUUUUUGUUAGCAAUAUUUAAAGAAACAAUAUUGUAAUUAAAUAUCCUUUAUGCUGGCUAUCAAUUUUUAUAUAUAUUUUACUGGCAAAAGUAUGUCUUUGUCUGGCAGAGCUAAAAAAGAAAACACAAACCUGGGAAAUUAAUAAUUUUGAAAAUACCUUAAGGUUGGAUAACAUAAUUUGAAAUCCCACCAUUUAGCCUUAAGGGCUUGGAAGAAAUCACAAAACUGAGUUUCUAUAUAUCAGAACAAUGAUCAAAUAAUCAAACAUUGCCAUAAGGGUUGCCUAUAUUAUUAUUUAUGUAGUUUGUCUACAAAUCAAUCUCCAACUUAUUAGUCAAUAAUUAUAUUCAGAUGUCUUUUUCCCCAUUUUCAAUAGCAGUAAAGAUAAUGAAAAAAUUAAUACAUAAAAAUGUUUAAGAAUCACAUAAGGAGUCAUUUGAAGACUUAUUUUUGACAAUACGUUUGCCUUCUUCAAAAAGAGAAAUGCAUAACACGAAGCAUUUAGGAAAAUAAAUAAGAACAUAGAGAACAAUGACAAGUCCAACAGUAAAAUGAAAUGUAUUUAGAAGGUUUCCCUCCACUGGAGAAAACUACUUACACAAUAAUUCAUCAAUCAUGAUGAGAAUUAGUUACAAGUUUCUCUUAGCUGAUGUCUCACCUAAAAUACAUGAAUUUCAUUUAAUCUACUUAAAUACGACAUUUUUAUUUGAAAAGCUAUACACACUCACAACAUGGAGUGAAGUUCAAGUAAGAUUAUUCCAAAUUUCUAAUAAUUCAAAAUUGUAUUGAUGUUUCAUCUAAAUAAAUCUUAGUGUGUUAUACUGGAAUUUGAGUAUAGCCAUAAUUAGUCAAAUUAUCUCUGAAUCUGGUAAUAAUUUAUUUUGUCAGGUGUAAAUUCUUUUAAGUUAUUUUUCAAAUUUAUUCAUUAUUUAGCAACCUUCAAGUCAUAUCAGAGUAUUAAACAUAUUUCUACAAAACACCUAGUAGGUAUUUUGCCCAUAACAAAAGGCAAAUUGGAAUUAAGUUCCUAGGGACAUAUGAAAACAAUUUUAUAAUACUUAUAUGCACCUUGUACAGUAUUAUAACCGCAUAUUUCUUAACAUUCUGCUUUCCAGUAAUUCACCUUAAUUUAAUAAAACUAAUACCAAACUGUGCUGGAAGGCUUUCUUAGGAAUGAUAUCACUGUAAGUUUAUUCAUUUCAUCCCUUUAACAUAAAUAUAUAUCACUUAAAUAUAAAUUGUAUUAAAUUGGGCAUUUGUUUAACAAAAAUAUAACUGAAAUAUCCUCUAGUUAGCAGAAGUAGAAUUUAUUGCAUGACAACAAUCCAGAGUGUGAUCAGGACAUUAAAAAAAUAGGCAACCAAGGCAGACCCUCACCGCUACCAGCUCACCUUCUAAAGAUGAUUUGGCACACUUCUGAGCCUGUGUCCCUAUGGAGCGGGUCUAGAAGGCUGUAAAAUAUUAUGUCUUUUACACAGCGUGCAGCUAACUGGUUCAGAAACGAAGUAAAGACAAAGUAAUAAAAGUAGAAUGCUAGUCUUUAAAAAGCAGUUCUUAGUAAUGCUUCCCUUUGGCAAUUUUUAGGUUUUUACUUUAAAUUUAACAGUUAAGUGUAUAAAGACAUAAUUUUGUGUAUAGCAUGUAGCACAUGAGAGCUUUCUUUGCAGUCGAGUCUCCUUAGAGAAUUUACAGAAUCUUCUUCAGUCAAUUGCAAUUCUUAUGUUCCACAUGGUUACAACACUUUUAUUUCAUUAACACCUAAUUUACAAGCACAAACCAUUCUAAAUGUAUCAGAACAGAUGUAGGAAAUAAUUAUAAUUUAGAUUGAAAUUUUCAUCUCCUAGUCACAUAAUUUUAACCCAUCUAUCUUAAGAAAAAAAAAUCAAGAGGAUUCUAAAAAGAUUAAAAAGCUCUCCAAUUUAAAUAAAGAGGUGCCAAAUUUAAGUUUUUAUUUUCUUUCAAUUUACCUGUUACUGCUCAGAUGUACCAUACCUGCUGUAUCGAGCUGCAUGGUUAUAAUGGUGCAUAUGCUGCAUUGAUAUGACAAUCUGCACCAAUUUGAAUACAGUUUUCCAUGGAGUCUCCCUUUAUAGCCCUUGGACAUUUCGUUUAACGCUUUGAGAGCUGUUUAAAAUUUCUAUUCUAUCUUCUAGAGAGAAAUCAAUCAUUUUACUUGGUUGACUUGACAUUUAAUUUGCUAUGUAUAAAAAUAAAUAUGAAAAGAAAAUAAUCUGCCAUUAUACAAAUACUAAAAUAACUUAAUGUUUGCUAUCAUUUACCAAAUCCAGUCCACUUGGUCAAAAUAAUAACAAAGCCUCACCUCCUACCCGUGAACAGGCUUCGUUGCUUAACUACAUGGAAUAACCACUUGCUCUGGCCUUAAAUAGACACACACCUUAUGAUUUAGAUGUGCUAAACUGAUCCUCACUCAGCAUUAACUUUUAGCUCCAUGUAGUCAGCAUGUUCCAUCAUUUGUUCCCAUUGGCCUUAUAAACAAAUCUGAAUGAUAGAAGUAUAUUCUCAGGCAUAAAAUCUAAUAAAGAUGUUUGCCUGAGACUGUCUUCUGCCUCAUUUUCAAUCCAUCUAACCACAUUUUGAUUCAUGGUAGCUUACAUUUACUCCACUUCCUACUCAUAUUCUUGUCUUACUAAGUAACUGGUAAACUAAGGCCACC
rnacentral:lncRNA from 10 species